UCAGUCGCUGACGGAAAUCGGCGAGCUGUAUCUCGCGCGCGUCGAGCGGAUUCUCGGUGCGAUCGACGAGAUCGACGGUCGUUUCGUCGCGAUGGGC
rnacentral:tRNA from 2 species